AUGACCCCUGUGUGCCGAGAUGCUCCUCUGAAAGCCCUUCCAGGCCAGUGCACAGCUCUAUUGGCCUCCUUCCAGGCCAGAGGCUGACACUCAACCUAAAGAGGGACUGGGAAAGGGACUGGAGCUGGGGAGGUGUUGGCCAGGGAGGCUUCAGAGGAUGUGGGCUACAGAGUCUGGUAACAGAAGGUCUCGAUCUGCUUUUAAUUAAUUAAUUAAUUAACUCAUUAUUUGUCUGAGCAGAACUCAAGACUUGGAGACAGAAAACCAUGGUGUGACCUACAGCUCUGCUACUAUCAUAUCUUUUGACAAUGUGCGCCAGGCAUGGUGGCGUUCGCCUGUUGUUCCAGCUACUCAGGAGGCUGAGUCAGAGAAUCACUUGAGCCCAGGAGAUUGAAGCUGCAGUGAGUUAUGACCACACCACUGUGCUACAGCCUGGGUAGCAGAGUGAGACUCUAAAAAAAAAAGAGGCCCGGUGUGGUGACUCAUGCCUGUAAUCCCAAGCCUCUGCAGUGCUCUGUUGAGCCAGAUUCUUCCCAGAGUCCCUGA
rnacentral:lncRNA from 1 species